rnacentral:tRNA from 1 species
UGUCCCCGUGGCUCAAUUGGAUAGAGCGUUGGCCUCCGGAGCCAAAGGUUGCAGGUUCGAAUCCUGCCGGGGACGG